ensembl:scaRNA
CUUCUUGAGAGGGAGCGUGGCCUGGGGUUGUAGGUGUUCUUGUGCAGUGUGUUGUGGAAGGUGCGUGUGGGCCGAGUGUAUGAAUGGACGCAUGAAUGAACGCGUGAAUGGGUGUGCAAGGUGAGCGAAUGAUUCCUCAGCGCCCCCUCCCCCCCCCCGUCUACACUUUGAUCUUAUUUGAUCGGGUUGUGACCCCAGCCUCGCCGGGCCUCCCCGAAAUGAAAAGUUCCCCUCCUGCGAAGCCCCCUCCUCGGGGCACUGUGCAGUGAGGCCCCACGGGCGGCGGCAGCGCCCUGGUUCCGAGGUCCCGGAGCUGGUCCUGCGGUCCGGCGCUCAGAAGUGAUGAAUUGAUCAGAUAGACGAGGCCGGGCCUGCCCCGGGCCGCUGAUUACCAAGGCGAUUCUGAUCUGA